GAUGAACGCUGGCGGCAGGCUUAAUACAUGCAAGUUGAACGGUAACAUUUUGUAGCAAUACAGAGAUGACGAGUAGCGUACGGGUGCGUAACACGUGUGCAACCUACCUUAUACAGGAACAAAACGUUGAGAAAUUAGCGCUAAUAUUCCAUAAUAUUAUUGAUAGGCAUCUAUUUAUAAUUAAAGCUCAGGUGGUAUAAGAUGGGCACGCGUUCCAUUAGCUAGUUGGUAAGGUAACGGCUUACCAAGGCAACGAUGGAUAGGGGUUCUGAGAGGAUACACCCCCACACUGGAACUGAGACACGGUCCAGACUCCUACGGGAGGCAGCAGUAAGGAAUAUUGGGCAAUGGAGGCAACUCUGACCCAGCCAUGCCGCGUGCAGGAAGACAGUCUUAUGGAUUGUAAACUGCUUUUAAUAGGGAAUAAUUUCGAUUAUGUAUAGUUGAUUGCAGGUACCUAUAGAAUCAGCAUCGGCUAACUCCGUG
rnacentral:rRNA from 1 species